rnacentral:lncRNA from 1 species
CUACCAGCUCUGCUCUGCACCCUUGCCAUGAGGACAGUUUACCAGGGUGUUUCUUUGACUAACUCCCUGAAGAGCUGGAUGUUAGCUUUCCUAAAGUGUAGCAUCCUAAUUUUAUUCUUUGCCUGUCUGGUAUUCCUCCAGAGCAUGAACUCAACCAUAGCACUGCCACCACAGUCCAGGCAUUUUCCAAUCCUGAUGUCACCAACCAGUUUAUUUGCAUUGGCCCGGGGCUCCCAGCACAAGAAAGAACUGUUGGAGUGGGUCCAGAUGAGGGCCACAAAGAUGAUCAGAGGGCUGGAGUACCUCUCUUGCAAAGAAAGGUUGAGGGAGCUGGGCUUGUUCAGCCUGAAGAGAAGGCUCUGGGUAGACCUCAUUGCAGCUUUCCAGUACCUAAAGGGAGCUUAUAA